UUGGGUAGACUGUUGUGGUGUGUUUGGAGGAACGUCAAGUUCUUAGUGUUGCCAGAGCCUGAGGUGCCAGAGGGCAUGCGGUGGGAGGAACGUGGUGCAGCACGCAGCCACUCAGGAAAGGGGAGGCACAGCCAAGACGGGGGCAGGAUGGAAAGUCCAUGGAUGCUGCAGGACUUAGACCUAGCCUUAAAUGUGAAUCCAUCCCUGGAGUUGGAGUGUCAGGGUAUCUCUUUUCUCUUUUGGCUCCUUUCCUUCUUCCAUUUUUUUUCCUUCCCUCCUUCUCCACUUUAUUCUUCCCCUUCCUUCCCAUUCCACUUCUCUCUUCGCAAGAGCUGCAGAUUUGGGUUCCAGUCUGAGAUGAGUUGGAAGGUGGGGAGGAGCCCUGCUCUCAGAACUCAGUUCCUGAGGCAGAUGGGAGCACUUUUUAAGAAGAUGGAAUUUUCUAACAACCAGAGCUAUCUCAAAAGUCAUAAGCUUCCUGCCCCUGGAAAUGUGCAAGCCGUGUCUGUCUGCAGAGCUGAAAUUCCUGCGUUCUCAGGAGGCUGGGCAAAUGCUAAGAUGGAGGUUCUGAAAUCUGAUUACUGCACCAAUCACUGUGGGAGAGAGUUAGUGAUAUAUCUACUCCCAGACCCGGAACUAUACAGAAUCAAGAUCUAUUAAGGAACUUCUGCCCAAUCCCUGGGGUGGUGAGGCUGUAACCACAAAGGUAUAAGAGAAGACGACUAGUUUUUUAAUGGGUAAAUGAUAUUUAUUUUUAUUUUU